CGUUGCCACGACGUAAGUUUGGUCAUCAUAUUACGUCGACGUUACGUAACAGUUACGUAUUUGUGUUAGCUGGGUAUGUGAUUUUCUAGAUGCAUGUUUAUGGAUACUGGAAGACGUAAUUUACAGAAAACAGUCACCAAGUACAGUCCAGCUAAGCCAGGAAACCGGACCAGAGAAUGAAUUGAUGCCAUCUGUUUGAACCACAGUGCUCAGGAGGAAGGCUUUCUUACUUGAGGACUGCUUCAGGAUGUAGAAGGAACAGAUCCUCUUGAACCACAGGGCAUAAUAGUUAAAAUGUUCACACCAUUGUAAAUAUACUUGAUUACUUGACCAAGAUGUCACCUGAGAUCCUGUGGCAGAUCAUGAUGGGAGUAGUCAAGGUUGAUGGCGAUGUGGCUGUCUUGAGGCUUGCACUCAAAUGCUAGAUGUUUAGGGACAAGUUAGUGAGCCCAAAUUUAAAGAACAGGCUCACUUUUUGUGGCUUGACAGUCAUGAGAACUGGAUUGUGUUCUACAGACAACAGUUUUUGAUGCCCUACUGUCUGACUCAAUGCUUCCACUGUGGAGAAAUCUUCAAAGACUGUCCACCUGGCAAUGUUGGGGAAAAAAUAUUUACACAAGUUACAUAAUAAUAUACGAGCAUAUAUUUGACAUGACUUUAAUUCUCCUAUUCAUUAAAACUUGUAAGUAUACAAGUACUGUAUAGGUUUUGUCUUUAUUUCACUUGAUAGUACUUGAUGCUAGUAUUGCAUCCCUAAGUUGAUGUUUCGAAUUAAAGUGCAGUUCACCUCACAGAUCUUUCAUAUUAUGAUGCUAAACAGGCUCUUUAAUAAGACUUAGGUCAGAUGAUGAUGGGGGUCACACAUUGUUUGAUUUCUUUCUUAUUUUAAUAAUUAAAAUAGUCAAUGAUGCUUUUUGCAGUAUGGGAUGGUAUAUUAUCCUCCAUGAAAGUAAAUUUAUUUCAGAAGACAUAAUUCCUUUUAUCUCAUAGUAAAAAAAACUAUGUUUUAGGAACUCUACAUAUCUUCUUGAUGUCCAUUUGACCCCCCCCCCCCCCAAUAUCUUGUUUGAACAUAGUGGCUAUU